GAUGAACGCUGGCGGCGUGCCUAAUACAUGCAAGUCGAGCGAACGGACGAGACGCUUGCUUCUCUGAUGUUAGCGGCGGGCGGGUGAGAAACACGUGUAUCCCCUACCUGUCAGACUGGGAAAACUUCGGGACACCGGCGCUAAUCCCGGAUAAUAUUUUGAACCGCAUGGUUCAAAGGUGAAAGACGGUCUUGCUGUCACGUCUAGCUGGAUCCGCGCUGCAUUGGCUAGUUGGUAAGGUAACGGCCUACCAAGGCAACGAUGCAUAGCAGACCUGAGAGGGGGAUCGGCCACACUGGAGCGUGGCCACGGUCAUGAGGCCUACGGGAGGCAGCAGUAGGGAAUCGUCCGCAGUGGGCGGAAACCUUGCGGAGCAGCGGCGCGUGAGAGAUAGAGGUCUUCGGAGCGUAAUACUCGGUUAUUAGGGAAGAACAUAUGUGUAAUGAACUGUGCACAGCGUGACGGUAACUAGUCAGAAAGCCACGGCUAACUACGUG
rnacentral:rRNA from 1 species